CUGCCUGUAGGCUUCAUGUCCUUCCCCUACAACACGCCAUGCUUGCCAGGCUGGAAGAGGGGCUCCAGAAACUUGGAAACCUGGGCCUGUAGCUGGCAUAUGGAAAAGAGGCCUGGAAAAGCACCACUCCUGUCCAUGAAGCCCCCAGAUGGAACCAGGUCCUGUUCAGAAACCCCAUCUGUGCCUUUGGAGAGACUGCCCCGAGCACACAGGCCCAGCAACCGCCAUCUAUGGCCCCCAGGACCUAAUCCCUUCUACAUAGGGUUCAGUGCAUGUGAGUAUACACCGGGCUUGAUUCCUGCCUAGUCCCUGCCAGAUACCCCAUGCCCACCUGGUGAAGAGAAUGAGGCCACACAAACACACCCAGGCCAUCGUGGUGAUGGAGUGCCUGGGGUCCUACUUGCCCACCCUUCCUUGCUGGUUCAGAGCCAGCUGUCUGACCACAUUCCUACCCUGAGAUGAGACUUUGGGGACAUUGUCCACCAGGGUCACUGACCCCUUUUAAAAUUCCAGAAACAGAGGGCCAGCUGGUCCCCUAGAAGUUUGGCACAUGGGAUAAGCCAAGGCUUGCCUUCAGGAACAGGUUUUCCACCACGUCGCUGCCCAAGGCCCAGGGCAUCCCCAAGUUCAUGUGGCACCUGCCUGCCAUGUCCACAACCCAUGCCGACCCCUCCUAGAGCCACUGGAAUGCUUGUUCCUGGGCAUGUGAUAAACCCAGACAGCUUCAGCCUUGCAGGACAACUAUGCACAUCUGGCAGCAGUAGCCGGAGGGCCCAUGGAAAGAAGUUGGAGGUGAAACCAGAUGCUGUGAAAAUAUUAGGCAAAACUGCAUACUAUAAAAGUGCUUUAAAAUGCAGCAGGAGGAGAGGUGAAGACACAAAUGAAUAAGUGCUUAGAGACACAUGGCUGUCAGAACAGUUAAGAAUCCACGCUGCUUCCCCCCUUUACCUAGAAAAGGAAAAUUCUAGGCCACCUCCUCCUCAGCAUACUCCUCAAACUCCUCCUCCUCAGCCGUGGCAUCCUGAUAUUGCUGAUAUUCAGACACCAGGUCGUUCAUGUUGCUCUCGGCCUCGGUGAAUUCCAUCUCUUCCAUGCCCUCGCCCGUGUACCAAUGGAGGAAGGCCUUGCGCCUGAACAUUGCUGUAAACUGCUCUGAGACACGCUUGAAGAGUUCCUGGAUGGCCGUAUUAUUCCCAAUGAAGGAACAGCAAGAGGACCUUGUGCAUGAAUAAUUUGUUUCCAUACUACAGAGUGGGUAAUAAGCAGAUUAGUAAAAACAAUUCUGCUUCACUUCAAUAACAGCCUCCUCCAACUCAUUUUUUCUCAACAAACUUAUUUUUCCAGCAGAAGAAUCCCAGACUUCUUAGAGAACCCAGUGACUUUUUGCACCUUAAAUCUGUGAAAUCCUCAUGUUUUCUUCUGCCGUAUCCAUAGUUCAAACAAAGAUGAGGCAAAGCUAGACGCAUUCCUGAAGGAACCCAAGAAAUUCCUCUCUUUCUCUCUCUGGAAUGAAAUGAAUUCUCUAGACCACCAGUUCUAACCUUCAAAAACCAAACCUGUUUGUGAGCUGUCCUUCAAAUACUACUGUAGACCCCAGUGUUUAUUCAUUAAAUUUUUUAAAUAUUUGUUUUAUUUGGAAUCAAAGUAUUUGUAAUUUUAGUAUUUGUAUUAAUAUCAGGGAGAAAUGUUUAAAUCUGUCUAUGCCAUAUGUGCCUCUGGCUUAUUGCCCAAUUAAUUGUAGCCUCAGGCUAAACUUUGGUUUCUGUCUUUAAUUUUUGUCAGAAGAAAUAUAACUGAUCUCAAAACA
rnacentral:lncRNA from 1 species